AAAAAAAAUGUUUGAAAUUAGUAUUUGCUACUUUUCCGCUGACAUGCUUUAACUAAAGAGAACAGACUUGUCGGCUCGAAACCCACUAUAAUAUGUCUGCGUAGGGCGAAAUGUCGGAUCUUUACCGAGUUUGCAUGAUAAAAUAUGACUUGGCGUGUCGACCUACUACUUUAAAUAAUAAAUUUUCAAAUUUCAAAUAAGCAACUUUCACAUUCAUAUCAUAUUUGAAUGUUAUAUCGUCCUAAAUUUGCAUGUACUAUUUGCUGCUGGAUGUAUAUCAAAUAGUCAUUCAUCAACCAGCCUAAGCAUUGCUUAAUGAUAUAAGUUUGUUUAAAAUGUUUAAAGGGUCUAAUGUUUAUAUAAAAAAGGUGGUUUUUAACUCUUACCCAAUUUAUGUGUACCCCAAAUGAUUGUUCAUCAUAUUGACCAACUGAGCUCGGUACAGCAGUAGCUAUGUUCGUGUAAUAUAAGUACAUCAGGUUGUUCAAAAAUUAACCAAACUUAUCAAAUACCUUUGUAGGACAAGAGAAAUCUGAGAACAAAUUUAUCAAUGAAAAUGGACGAUAUAAAAACAUACCAAGAAAAAGAAGAUGAAAAUC
rnacentral:lncRNA from 1 species